rnacentral:lncRNA from 1 species
AAGAAAUCCCUCUUCAUGCUGAAAGAGCUCACCAACAAAUUCAGGCAGCCUGUGAAACGUUUGAUGUCCGAAGCCAACAGCACAUUCAGAUCCCCAAGCUCUACACCUCCAAUGUGACCUGGGGCUUGCACCACUUCAGGCUCGUGCAGGACUCACAGCCUUUGGACCUCAGCUAAGGGACCUGCUUCUCUGUAGCACAUGGGGCUUGUUUGUGUUGGGGUCUGAGCCCUGAGCUCAUGGUCAAGGAGAACCCCAGGUCCUUCUGAACAGAGACAGCUGGCCUCGGGGCCUCCCUCUCACUGCAUGCAAGAGCCUGUUAGGGCACAAGACUCAAGGCGCUGAGGGAGGCUGUUUCAGGAGGGAGCCGCAGAAGGAUGGUGGAGAGAGAAGGGGACAGCAUCCGCCGAGGGCCUACUGUGUGCCAGGCACUGUCCAGGGCUCCUGGCCCACAUGGGCUAAGUGAAUCUGGACACUCCUCCUGGGAGAAAGGCACAGAUGGAGAAAUUGCAGUUCAGGGAGGUGAAGCAAGCUGCUAGCCUGUGGCCACUUUGGGAUCUGAGCGCCAGCCUUCUAGCCACAAAGGCAGCAAAGGGUCAUGAAGAAGGCAUCACAGAGGCGAUUCCAGGCUGUAGUGGUGAACUCUCCACUCUGCACCCCCAGGUGCUGUGCCCUGUGCCCUGAUUAGAUAGUCCUGAAGGUUUCUACAUGUUUAAGAUAUCCCCAAUGUCAACGAUGCUCUCCUGUGGAUCCCAAGCUGUGGAGAUGUCCUGGGACUUUCCAUUUUAGGUUCCUAAAUUGAAUUUCCCAACACCUAGAAGCAACCCAGCUGCCCUGUAUCAGACCAAGGACCUUUAUUUGUGAUUCAGAAACAGUGGAAUAAAAGGAAAGGAAAGAAAACCCCAACAGCCACCUCAGGAGGAUGCCCCAAGGCCCUCAGCAGCAUGCACGCCAAUAACAUGUUCACCACGAGGCUCAAAUCUCAGCAGAAGCUACAGAGUCCAACAUCCAGGCAGCUACUGGGUCAGUGACAAGAGGCUGCCCCCCUGCUCACUCAGCCAGGCCCUCACCUACUUCCUGGACAUCACCACACCCCCACCCAGCUGCUGCUCCAAAAGCUGGCCCAGGUGGCCACAGAAAAGCCUGAGAGACGAGGCUGGAGGCCCUGUGCCAGGUGAAGAUCAGGGCUGGUGGGCAGUGGGGGUAUGUGGGGGGUCCCAGCAUGUGGGGAGCCAGAGUCCAGAGCUGGUUUUAACUUUCAAGAGGGAUCCACACCAGGUUCCCAAAGUGAGACUUGUCAAAGGCUGGUGGGAAGCCAGGCAUCGUCCGCUGGCCCAUGUCUAGGACACAGUUGUGUUGAGUGAACUGAAUUUUUCCAAGUGUCUGCAGGAUGCAACCAGAGUGCACUGCCUUGAACAUUAGCUAG